UACGGAGGGGGCUAGCGUUGUUCGGAAUUACUGGGCGUAAAGCGCGCGUAGGCGGACCUGCAAGUCGGGGGUGAAAGCCCGAGGCUCAACCUCGGAACUGCCUUCGAUACUGCGGGUCUCGAGUCCGGGAGAGGUGAGUGGAAUUCCUAGUGUAGAGGUGAAAUUCGUAGAUAUUAGGAAGAACACCAGUGGCGAAGGCGGCAUCCUGGACCAACACUGACGCUGAGUGAGCGAAAGCCAGGGGAGCAAAGCGGG
rnacentral:rRNA from 1 species